rnacentral:lncRNA from 1 species
GCUACAAAGGAGGUUGUCAGAGGUGAGAGUGGGUUUUGGUGGAGGUGAGAGUUGGUUUCAGUGGAGGUGUGUAGUUUUUGAUAUGUUUGGUAGUAGGUUUUGGUGGAGGUGAGAGUAGGUUUUGGUGGUGGUGAGAGUAGGUUUCAGUGGAGGUGAGUGUAGUUUUUGAUGUGUUUGGUAGUAGGUUUUGAUGGUGGUGAGAGUAGGUUUUGGUGCUUGGUAUCGAUAGUAGCUUUUGUUGCUGUCGAUAGUAGCUUAGCUUUUGUUGCUACAGGUAGUAGCUUUUGAUGGUGGUGAGAGUAGGUUUUGAUGUGUUUGGUAGUAGGUUUUGAUGGUGGUGAGAGUAGGUUUUGGUGCUUGGUAUCGAUAGUAGCUUUUGUUGCUAUCAAUAGUAGCUUUUGUUGCUAUCAAUAGUAGCUUUUGUUGCUACAUGUAGUAGCUUUGUUGUUGGUAGUAAUAACUUUUUUGUUUGAGGUAAUAGAUUUUGUUGUUGCCAGUAGUAGGUUUUGUUGUUGGCAGUAGUAGCUUUUGUUGUUGGCAGUAGUAGCGUUUGUUUGUGACGAUAGUAUCUUUUGUUGAUAAUGGUAGUAUCUUUUCUUGCUGGCAGUAAUAGCUUUUGUUGUUCGCUGUUGUAACUUUUGUAGCUAGGGAUAGUAACUUUUGUUGUUGACGAUAGUAGUCUUUGUAGUCGGCAGUAGUAGCUUUUCUUGCUAGGGAUAAUAGCUUUUCUUGCCGGCGGUAAUAGUUUUUCUUGCUGGCGGUAAUAGUUUUUCUUGCUGGCGGUAGUAGCUUUUGUAGUCGGUGGUAGUGGUAGUAGCUUUUGUAGUCGGUGGUAGUAACUUUUCUAGCAGGCGGAAGUAGCUUGUCUUGCUGGCAAUAGUAGCUUUUCUUGCUGGCGAUAGUAGUUUUUUUUGUUGACGGUAGUAGCUUUUGUAGUCGGGGGUAGUAGCUUUUCUAGCUAGGGAUAGUAGUUUUUCUUGCUUGCAGUAGUAGUUUUUCUUGCUAGCGGUAAUAGCUUUCGUAAUCGUCAGAAACCUCGCCGGAAGUCGGCUGGAGACAUCACCGGAGUUCGUUGGAGACCUCACCGGAGAUCUGCCGGAGACUUUUCUGGGGAGGAGAGUGGUUGUUGAUUUUUUACAAUUAUGGCAUUUUUGUAAAUAUAAGAGAGAAAAUCUAAUUUUUUUAGUUGGAUGUCAGUUUGUAAUUUAGUUGAACUUCAAUACCUUUAUUUAAGCUUGGGCGGACUUAUGUGUGUAAAAAUGUUUAGGUGGACCUCUAUAGGAGAAAAUGUCUCAAAGUGGACUUCUAUGUAAUUGGCCCUUAUUUAUACAUAGAUAUUUAUGUAAAAUCUUUUGUAAUAUUUUUUUUACUAUGAUUCUCUUAAUGAAUAUUCAUAAAAACUUCAUUUUUAACCGAGACUUAUAUUCGUUUUUGUUGGAUUGAAUCAA